rnacentral:rRNA from 1 species
GACGAACGCUGGCGGCGUGCUUAACACAUGCAAGUCGAACGGAAAGGCCCUGCUUUUGUGGGGUGCUCGAGUGGCGAACGGGUGAGUAACACGUGAGUAACCUGCCCUUGACUUUGGGAUAACUUCAGGAAACUGGGGCUAAUACCGGAUAGGAGCUCCUGCUGCAUGGUGGGGGUUGGAAAGAUUCGGCGGUUGGGGAUGGACUCGCGGCUUAUCAGCUUGUUGGUGGGGUAGUGGCUUACCAAGGCUUUGACGGGUAGCCGGCCUGGGAGGGUGACCGGCCACAUUGGGACUUGGGUACGGCCCAGACUCCUACGGGAGGCAACAGUGGGGAAUAUUGCACAAUGGGCGGAAGCCUGAUACAGCAACGCCGCGUGCGGGAUGACGGCCUUCGGGUUAUAAACCGCUUUCGCCUGUGACGAAGCGUGAGUGACGGUAAUGGGUAAAGAAGCACCGGCUAACUACGUG